AGAUUGAACGCUGGCGGCAUGCCUUACACAUGCAAGUCGAACGGUAGAGUAGCAAUACUUGAGAGUGGCGAACGGGUGAGUAAUAUAUCGGAACGUGCCCAGUCGUGGGGGAUAACGUAGAGAAAUUUACGCUAAUACCGCAAUACGAAUCUAAGGAUGAAAGGCGGGGGACCGUAAGGCCUCGCGCGAUUGGAGCGGCUGAUAUCAGUAUUAGGUUGUUGGUGAAGGUAAAACGCUACACCAAGCCGACGAUCUGUAGCUGGUUAGAGAGAACGACCACGACCACGACGUGGGACUGGAGACCGACGGCCCA
rnacentral:rRNA from 1 species